AGAGUUUGAUCCUGGCUCAGGACGAACGCUGGCGGCGUGCUUAACACAUGCAAGUCGAACGGAGCACCCUUGAUUGAGGUUUCGGCCAAAUGAUAGGAAUGCUUAGUGGCGGACUGGUGAGUAACGCGUGAGGAACCUGCCUUUCAGAGGGGGACAACAGUUGGAAACGACUGCUAAUACCGCAUAAGCCCACGACCCGGCAUCGGGAAGAGGGAAAAGGAGCAAUCCGCUUUGAGAUGGCCUCGCGUCCGAUUAGCUAGUUGGUGAGGUAACGGCCCACCAAGGCGACGAUCGGUAGCCGGACUGAGAGGUUGAACGGCCACAUUGGGACUGAGACACGGCCCAGACUCCUACGGGAGGCAGCA
rnacentral:rRNA from 1 species